rnacentral:rRNA from 1 species
GGAGGGCGCAAGCGUUGUUCGGAAUCAUUGGGCGUAAAGCGCGUGUAGGCGGCUUGGCAAGUCGGGUGUGAAAUCCCGGGGCUCAACCCCGGAACUGCAUUCGAAACUGCCUCGCUAGAGUCCCGGAGAGGAGGGCGGAAUUCCCGGUGUAGAGGUGAAAUUCGUAGAUAUCGGGAGGAACACCAGUGGCGAAGGCGGCCCUCUGGACGGUGACUGACGCUGAGAUGCGAAAGCGUGGGGAGCAAACAGGAUUAGAUACCCUGGUAGUCCACGCUGUAAACGUUGGGUGCUAGGUGUCGCGGGUAUUGACCCCUGCGGUGCCGACGCUAACGCAUUUAGCACCCCGCCUGGGGAGUACGGUCGCAAGGCUA